rnacentral:tRNA from 1 species
GCCGUCAUAGCUCAGUCGGUAGAGCGCCACCAUGGUAAGGUGGAGGUCACGAGUUCAAGCCUCGUUGACGGCU